rnacentral:tRNA from 1 species
GGGGAUUUGGCUCAGUGGUAGAGUGCUUGCCUAGGAAGCGCAAGGUCCUGGGUUCAGUCCCCA